CAUAAGUGAAAAUGGGAAAAAAAUUAAGGGCCAAAGUGAAAAAAAUACACAUGCAUCAGGAGUGAUUUUAAGGGUGCGUUUGUUUGCAAGGAUUUGAUUAUCCGAAAACAUUUUCUUGAUUUUACGGUGUUUGGUUGCUUGAAAAUAAAUUACAUGAGUAAAAGAUUUCCAAAACAAGGUAAAUUAUAUGAGUUUUUUUAGGGAAAAUGUCUUACAGAUUUUUAAUAGGUAAGACAUUUUCCGGAAAAUCUUCCUCCCAUCCGUUCUUCAUCCGUUUUGUAAGAUUUUCCAAAAACCGAUUGGCUCAUCCAGGAGGACUUGUUUAAGUACUCUUUUAUUCACCCCUUCUUCAUCCGUACUGUAAGAUUGGCUAUCAAUAACGCUUAAAGCUACCUUCUUUCAAACAGCCUAUUAUUGCCAAAGCUAAUAUCUGCUCGUAAAAACAAAGCAGCACUUGAUCAGCCCCCUUUUUCCCUCGUCUGUAUCGUGUUCCCCAUUUAUAUAUACCAAAUUUUGACUGCAAUUCAUGAGGCCUCCAUUGCUAGUUCUUCUUCGAGGGGUUUAUACAGAUAAAGAAAAGGACAAUAAGAAAAAAAAAUGAAGUCCAUUGAUACAAUAGCUUCUCUUGUCGUAGUUAAUUUGAACUAUAUAUAUAUAUAUAUAUAUAUGUAAUUUGUAUAAUAUAUUGUUCCACUUUUGACCCAUUUUUUAUUGUAGGGUGGUAAUGGUUGAACCAGUUCUAGUUUUUGAUAUGUUUUAAACAAUUUAACAUUUUACUCUCCAAUCAUUGUGUUACUCUCCCAACUUUGGUUAAUUUCAAUUUAUGACGGUUAAUAUUUUAGCUUAAUAA